rnacentral:sRNA from 1 species
GGAGAAUCUGAGACUUCUGAAGAGUUUCUUGCUUCUUUCCUGUGGGGCAGUGACUCCACUUCCCAGCAGUAAUGGAAUAUCCUGAAUUAGCUACAUUAAUGUUAGAACCAUUUGGACCUCACCCAGGACUUCAACUACAUUGUGAGUAACUCCUGGACGACUGGCACAGAAGAAGGCACAAGGCAAAUACCCAUCUCUGUACACCCUGUGCUACUGUGUCAUGUGCUGCUCCAGGCAACUCCAAUGGAUUGGCCACCCUGGCCAAUGUGUGAAUUAUAAAGCAAUGAUGUGUAGCUAUUGAACCUACAAUUUGGUUAAAAUUAAACUCUCAAGUUUUAUAUGUUUACAAGCAUAUUGUCCUUUUGUUAAUUUCCUCCCAAUACUCAUUCUUGACUUCUUUUAGUUUUACUAUGUAGUAAUUUUUAAAAUGUUAUUCAAAGUUAGUUAAUUUAAUUCACUUGGCAGAUUUUCCUGUAAUUUUGGUUAAACAGUAUCCUUUCUGUACAGGCCCUCCAAACACCAGCACUGAGUAGAAAGAGGCUCUGAUUCAUGAAAUGUGAAUUUAUGACAGUUGCCACUCUUUAAAAAAAAACAGACAGAACU